UAGGGAAGUCUUUCCACAAUGGGCGAAAGCCUGAUGGAGCAACGCCGCGUGUGUGAUGAAGGGUUUCGGCUCGUAAAACACUGUUGUAAGAGAAGAAUGACAUUGAGAGUAACUGUUCAAUGUGUGACGGUAUCUUACCAGAAAGGAACGGCUAAAUACGUGCCAC
rnacentral:rRNA from 1 species